CCGGACAUAAAAUUUGCUCUCAUAUAUAUUGCACACACUCACAUUGAGCGAGUCAAGUUGUGAAAUAGCAAGUGUUCGUAUAAGUUGUUAAACAAAUGAAGCGGAAAGCAUUCAUAUUUGGAGUCGAAUUUUCUUUGUUAGUUUUAACGAUUACGUUUCAAAACUCAUUAUGCCAAGCCAGCAACAGUUUCUUGUCCUUUUUUGAACACGUACAAUACAUUUCUAUAAGCCCAUCUACGCAUUCUCUAGCUAGUGAAUUAUACAACGAGGUGAUGAAAAUGAAAGAAGGGGACCGUCCUGUAAAAAGAUACUUCACACAUUACGAUAGCCCAUUUGUACAAACAGAAAAUCGUAUAAGGAGACAAUCAUUUGCUAAUACAUUUUAAAUAAAAUAUUAAUGAAAAGUGUGAGUUU